GACGAACGCUGGCGGCGUGCUUAACACAUGCAAGUCGAACGAAGAGCGACGGAAGCUUGCUUCUAUCAAUCUUAGUGGCGAACGGGUGAGUAACGCGUAAUCAACCUGCCCUUCAGAGGGGGACAACAGUUGGAAACGACUGCUAAUACCGCAUACGAUCUAACCUCGGCAUCGAGGAUAGAUGAAAGGUGGCCUCUACAUGUAAGCUAUCACUGAAGGAGGGGAUUGCGUCUGAUUAGCUAGUUGGAGGGGUAACGGCCCACCAAGGCGAUGAUCAGUAGCCGGUCUGAGAGGAUGAACGGCCACAUUGGGACUGAGACACGGCCCAGACUCCUACGGGAGGCAGCAGUGGGGAAUCUUCCGCAAUGGACGAAAGUCUGACGGAGCAACGCCGCGUGAGUGAUGACGGCCUUCGGGUUGUAAAGCUCUGUUAAUCGGGACGAAAGGCCUUCUUGCGAAUAGG
rnacentral:rRNA from 1 species